rnacentral:rRNA from 1 species
GACAGAGGGUGCAAACGUUGCUCGGAAUUACUGGGCGUAAAGCGCACGUAGGCGGAUUUGUAAGUCAGGGGUGAAAUCCCGGGGCUCAACCUCGGAACUGCCUUUGAUACUGCAAAUCUCGAGUCCGGAAGAGGUGAGUGGAAUUCCUAGUGUAGAGGUGAAAUUCGUAGAUAUUAGGAAGAACACCAGUGGCGAAGGCGGCUCACUGGUCCGGUACUGACGCUGAGGUGCGAAAGCGUGGGGAGCAAACAGG